rnacentral:rRNA from 2 species
CAGAGAGCUUGCUCUCGGGUGACGAGCGGCGGACGGGUGAGUAAUGUCUGGGAAACUGCCUGAUGGAGGGGGAUAACUACUGGAAACGGUAGCUAAUACCGCAUAAUGUCGCAAGACCAAAGUGGGGGACCUUCGGGCCUCAUGCCAUCAGAUGUGCCCAGAUGGGAUUAGCUAGUAGGUGGGGUAACGGCUCACCUAGGCGACGAUCCCUAGCUGGUCUGAGAGGGUGACCAGCCACACUGGAACUGAGACACGGUCCAGACUCCUACGGGAGGCAGCAGUGGGGAAUAUUGCACAAUGGGCGCAAGCCUGAUGCAGCCAUGCCGCGUGUGUGAAGAAGGCCUUCGGGUUGUAAAGCACUUUCAGCGGGGAGGAAGGCGGUGAGGUUAAUAACCUCAUCGAUUGACGUUACCCGCAGAAGAAGCACCGGCUAACUCCGUGCCAGCAGCCGCGGUAAUACGGAGGGUGCAAGCGUUAAUCGGAAUUACUGGGCGUAAAGCGCACGCAGGCGGUCUGUCAAGUCGGAUGUGAAAUCCCCGGGCUCAACCUGGGAACUGCAUUCGAAACUGGCAGGCUAGAGUCUUGUAGAGGGGGGUAGAAUUCCAGGUGUAGCGGUGAAAUGCGUAGAGAUCUGGAGGAAUACCGGUGGCGAAGGCGGCCCCCUGGACAAAGACUGACGCUCAGGUGCGAAAGCGUGGGGAGCAAACAGGAUUAGAUACCCUGGUAGUCCACGCCGUAAACGAUGUCGAUUUGGAGGUUGUGCCCUUGAGGCGUGGCUUCCGGAGCUAACGCGUUAAAUCGACCGCCUGGGGAGUACGGCCGCAAGGUUAAAACUCAAAUGAAUUGACGGGGGCCCGCACAAGCGGUGGAGCAUGUGGUUUAAUUCGAUGCAACGCGAAGAACCUUACCUGGUCUUGACAUCCACAGAACUUAGCAGAGAUGCUUUGGUGCCUUCGGGAACUGUGAGACAGGUGCUGCAUGGCUGUCGUCAGCUCGUGUUGUGAAAUGUUGGGUUAAGUCCCGCAACGAGCGCAACCUUUAUCCUUUGUUGCCAGCGGUCCGGCCGGGAACUCAAAGGAGACUGCCAGUGAUAAACUGGAGGAAGGUGGGGAUGACGUCAAGUCAUCAUGGCCCUUACGACCAGGGCUACACACGUGCUACAAUGGCAUAUACAAAGAGAAGCGACCUCGCGAGAGCAAGCGGACCUCAUAAAGUAUGUCGUAGUCCGGAUUGGAGUCUGCAACUCGACUCCAUGAAGUCGGAAUCGCUAGUAAUCGUAGAUCAGAAUGCUACGGUGAAUACGUUCCCGGGCCUUGUACACACCGCCCGUCACACCAUGGGAGUGGGUUGCAAAAGAAGUAGGUAGCUUAACCUUCGGGAGGGCGCUUACCACUUUGU